GUUAGGAUUUGAUUUAGGAUUUGGUUAAAGGUUUGAUUUAGGGUUUAGGAUUUAGGAUUUGGAUUAGGAUUUAUUUUAGGAUUAGGAUUCGAUUAGGAUUUGAUUUAGGAUUUAGGGUUUAGAUUAGGGUUUGAUUUAAGGUUUAGAAUUUGGUUAGGAUUUGAUUUAGGAUUUAGGAUUUGGAUUAGGAUUUCAUUUAGGAUUUAAGAUUUUUUUAGGAUUUAAUUUAGUAUUUAGGAUUUGAUUUGGAUUUUAUUUAGGAUUUAAGAUUUGAUUAGGAUUUAAUUUAGGAUUUGGUUUAGGAUUUAGGAUUUAGUGUUUAGAUUGUAGGAUUUAAGGUUUGGAUUUAGGAUUUGAUUAAGAUUUGGUUUAGGAUUUUAUUAGGAUUUAUUUAGGAUUUAAGAUUUAAUUAAUUUGAGUCUAAAGUUUGAAUGAAGUCCAAUAGGAUUUUAACUAGGAUUAAAUUAAGAUUGAAUUGAGAUAUAUUUGAGAGAUAUUUGAGAGAUAUUUGUGAUUAUUCUAAUAUUUCUUUAAGAUUUCUUAUUAUUUCUUUGAAAUUCCUUUGAGGUUUUUUUGAAUUUUAUUAAGCUUGCUUAGCAUUAUUAUG
rnacentral:lncRNA from 1 species